rnacentral:ribozyme from 1 species
AAAAAAAUAAUAUAGAAAGGGGGGAGGAAAUGUUGUUGUCUGUGUUUUUUUUCAUUCUUUUUCUUUUCCUUUUUUCUUUU